CAGUACAAGCAGUACUCUAAGGUGAAACCGCGAAUGGCUCAGUAAAUCAGUUAGGGUUCAUUUGAUGAAUUUGCAGAAAACUUGGAUAACUGUGGCAAUUCCAGAGCUAAUACAUGCAUUAAAGUCCCGACCUUGCGGAAGGGACGCUUUUAUUAGAAUACAGGACCAAUCAUUGGAUGGUCAGAUGAUGUCUCUCCGAAAACAAAAGGUGGCGAAUCUGAAUAACAUAGAACAGAUCGCACGGCCAUAGAGCGUGGCGACGCAUCUUCCAAGCGCCUGCUCUAUCAACUAUGAUGGCCGAUUAUACGCCUACCAUGGUGUUAACGGGUGACGGGGAAUCAGGGUUCGAUUCCGGAGAGGGAGCCUGAGAGACUGCUACCACAUCCAAGGAAGGCAGCAGGCGCGCAAAUUACCCACUCCCGGCACGGGGAGGUAGUGACGAAGUAUAACGAUACGGGACUCCCAUCCGAGGCCCCGUGAUCGGAAUGAGACCGGUUCAGAGAACUGGUGAGAGUAUCCAUUGGAGG
rnacentral:rRNA from 1 species